GCGGCCGGAGGCUCCCGGGGCGGCCCGCGGACCCGCACUCACCUGCGGACGGGCGGCGGCGCGGGCGGGACUUGCACGGGGCGAGGCUGCCGGGGUACCGGGCGUCCUCAGGGCGAAUUCAGCUCGCACCCUCCUCACUCCACUCAGCGAUAGCGGCUCCGCGACGGCUCCACCGGAAACGAGCCGACCGCGGCCAAUCAGAGCUCGGCUGCUGACGUCAAUGCGCCUCGCUCUGGCCAGAGCGGUUGCCUUGGCAACCUUAAAGGGCUCUCACGUCUGCCUCCCUCCACGCCUCUGCCUUUUCUGCCUUCCUUCAACCCCUCCUCCAGCUGACCCACGUGGGACGUUUCGGUGACAGGCCCUGGAAGAGGCGGAGGCCCUAGCGGAUCUGCCACAGCUGAGCGCAAGCGGAUGCUGGGAUGCUCGUGAUGGACAGACUGCGCAUCCUGAGAACGCCCCGCCAUACCCGGGGCUCUGGACUUGGCCUGUCAUCCGGUCCAAGAAAUCUGACCCUUAUCAAGCCUCUGCUUGGCUAAUCUGACUGCUGUCAUCAGUGGAGGCCCUGUGGUGCCUACAGAGGCACAAGACAGGGAAAGAGAGAGACUUGAGUCCUACUAAUGCCCUCCAUAUCAUGCCUGAUUGCGUGGUGCGCAGUACAGACGGGCAGAUCAUGUCAGUGACCACACAAGAAAUCUCAGCUGCAGGAAAAAACGGGAGAAUUUUGGAGAAAAGGCAACUCCGUUAUUCCUUCAGCCAACUUUCCCCCAUAAGUAUCUGAACUUGAAUACAGGGGAGGCAAUUUCAGACAUACGUAGUUACAUGAAUAAAGUGGGCCUAAAUAAAUACAUAAAGUAGGCACUUGCA